AGUUUGAUUCUCGUAU
rnacentral:sRNA from 1 species